UACGGUAUCCAGCAAGCAACAUCCACAUAAGCCGGGGUUGGUAGCAACACAUCUACCAACCCCGGCUUAUGUGGAUGUUGCUUGCUGGAUACCGUG
rnacentral:pre_miRNA from 1 species